AUUUUAUUUUCUUUCUUUCUUUU
rnacentral:sRNA from 1 species